rnacentral:rRNA from 1 species
AGUGAACGCUGGCGGUAGGCCUAACACAUGCAAGUCGAACGGCAGCACAGUAAGAGCUUGCUCUUACGGGUGGCGAGUGGCGGACGGGUGAGGAAUACAUCGGAAUCUACUUUUUCGUGGGGGAUAACGUAGGGAAACUUACGCUAAUACCGCAUACGACCUACGGGUGAAAGCAGGGGAUCUUCGGACCUUGCGCGAUUGAAUGAGCCGAUGUCGGAUUAGCUAGUUGGCGGGGUAAAGGCCCACCAAGGCGCCGAUCGGUAGCUGGUCUGAGAGGAUGGUAGGCGACACUGGAACUGAGACAGGGUCCAGACUCCUGCGGGAGGCAGCAGUGGCGAAUAUUGGACAAUGGGCACAAGCCUGAUCCAGCCAGACCGCGUGGGUGAAGAAGGCCUUCGGGUUGUAAAGCCCUUUUGUUGGGAAAGAACAGCAGCAGGUUAAUACCCCGCUGUUCUGACGGUACCCAAAGAAUAAGCACCGGCUAACUUCGUG